UGGGCAUGGAUCACUGAAUGUCAACUUGAUGAAAUUCAAAGGAGCAUGCCCACCUGUAGUAAUCCUGCUUAGAAGGAGAGGAACCGCAGGUUCAAACAUUUGGUGUAUGUGCUUGGCUGAGGAGACAAUGGUGCGAAGCUACCAUCUGUGAGACUAUGACUGAACGCCUCUAAGUCAGAAUCCCCCCUAAAGGUAACGAUACCGUAGCGCAGCAGAUCUUCGGGUGGCCCGGGAUAGCCUGUCUCUUUUGGGAGAAAUGAAAGCCUCACUAUUUAAACUAGAAGAUCAGAGCAGUGAGAAUGAUCUGCGGAACAGAUGAAAAGGAAGAACAAAAAAGAAAAGCUUCAGUAAAUCAACUUCCUGCUCAACUUCUAUGAAACCCAAGAGAGUUGCAAAAGUUUACAAGAGGCAGCAAAGCAACAUCAGGAAGCCCAUCAAAGUUUCAAACAAGAACAAGAAUCCCUGUUAGAGUCUGUAAAGUGCCGAACAGCUCAAUAAAGACUUUGAAGAUAUCAAAACAAAAUCCAUACAGUCACUAGAUAAAACAAAGUUGUGGAGACCAGAACAUCAGAACUCACCACAGAGUUUAAGGGGAAACAUGCUGAAAUUCACUAAUUCAAGAAUAAAGUCUGCUGAAAACAAUUUACUGGAAAAGGCACUUGAAAAGGCUGAAACGAUGCAAAACUAUUUGAAGGAUAAAGACAAUAUGACAGAGAGGAAAAUACAAGAGAUUGAGGGGCAAUUAUCUGCUGCAAUGAGAAGAGAGGAAAAAUCCAUCAAGGAAAAAGAUCAUCUGAAGACAGACAUUGUACAACAUGAGGUGAAGUAUGAAGAGCUAUCAGCAAGUCUCAAUCAGCUGCAACUUGAGAACAAGACUAUUCUGGAGACGAUGCAGAAUGAAUCCUCAGAGGCAACCAUUCUUGUAGCACGACUAAAAGAGAGGGAGGCAAAAUAGAUGAAGAUGAAGAAGGAAAUUGAAAGGCUCCAGGAGGAAAACCAUCAAUUAUGGAUUUCAAAUCCUCUCUAUGGGAAAGAAAAGGUACCGAAGCUACAGCUUUGAGCUACAGAGGCCGUCAAGAGUAAGGAAGAUGCUGAAGUCAAACGUCAGAACAAGACAGCAGACAUGGUUGCCGUGACGGAAAGCACAAGGUUAAGUUCUCUGUUGGCAUCAGAUCCACUAUGACGAAAUGGUUGACGAGAAAGAUGCAGAGCUUGAUGAUAAGAAGAGAGAAGACAUGGAGGCAGCUGCUAAUAGAACAUCACUGGAAUUGGAUCUGUCACAGCAGAACAUGGAAAAUGGCCAUUUGAAGGAACAACUGGAGAAAGAAAUGAAGGAGAGGGAAAGCUGACUACAGGAGAUUACAGGUCUGGAAAAAGAGACGGCAUGUCAGAAAAUGAGCAGGCAACUGCAGACACAGGAUAACCAGGAAAUGGAAAGCAAAGCCCCAAGAACUCCGUCUUGGAGCUCCAUAACAACAGUUAUAGCAACACCGCAAAUUAAGGAAAGCAAAGCUCUCAAAACUCCAUCUUGGCGUUCCCCAGUACAGCUGGCGCAACACCACGGAUUAAGUCUUACAGAAUCAGAACUCCUCCGUCCGCUGGGAAGUCUGUGCCCUGGGGGAAGAGUACCCUGGAGCUUGACCUGGGGGAAGAGUACCCUGGAUCUUGACCUGGGGGAGAGUACCCUGGAGCUUGACCUGGGGGAAGAGUACCCUGGAGCUUGACCUGGAGGAAGAGCACACUGGAGCUUGACCUGGGGGGAGAGCACACUGGAGCUUGACCUGGAGGAAGAGCACACUGGAGCUUGACCUGGAGGAAGGGCACACUGGAGCUUGACCUGGGGGA
ensembl:lncRNA